AUGGAUAAAGGUUACCCCGUGAAUGUUCUAGAAUCAUCCAAAGAAGAAGCUUCAAGGAACCAGGUUGGUCUGUUGGUUGCACUAUGCUGGCCUGCCCGCUCCAAGUUGCGAGGUGAGCCACAGGACUUGUGCGAAGGCACGGGUCUUGUGAGUCUUAGAUAG